rnacentral:rRNA from 1 species
ACUCCUACGGGAGGCAGCAGUGAGGAAUAUUGGUCAAUGGGCGCAAGCCUGAACCAGCCAUGCCGCGUGCAGGAAGACUGCCUUAUGGGUUGUAAACUGCUUUUAUAUGGGAAGAAACCCCUCUACGUGUAGAGGCUUGACGGUACCAUAAGAAUAAGCACCGGCUAACUCCGUGCCAGCAGCCGCGGUAAUACGGAGGGUGCGAGCGUUAAUCGGAAUUACUGGGCGUAAAGCGCAUGCAGGUGGUUUGUUAAGUCAGAUGUGAAAGCCCGGGGCUCAACCUCGGAAUUGCAUUUGAAACUGGCAGACUAGAGUACUGUAGAGGGGGGGUAGAAUUUCAGGUGUAGCGGUGAAAUGCGUAGAGAUCUGAAGGAAUACCGGUGGCGAAGGCGGCCCCCUGGACAGAUACUGACACUCAGAUGCGAAAGCGUGGGAGCAAACAGGAUUAGAUACCCUGGUAGGCUCUG